UGUGUAUUUUUUUUUAUUUGUUGUUUUGGCUUUAAAUUAGCUUUCAGUAACUGCAAGUACUCUCAGAUAUGUUCUUAGUGUCUUUUUGUGUUGGUAUGUACAAGUAGCCGGCCAUGUCCACUUUGUGUUUAUGUUUUACAGGGAGGAUUGGAAUCCCACUUACAUGUUUCACCUUGCCACAUUCUGUAUGUGUGUGCAUUUCCCAAGUCAGGAGCCUGUAAUACAGUGGUUGUCAUUUGUUGUUGUGUUACAUAAAAAAAAUAUAUUUGUCAAAUUGAUUUUUUUGUUCAUUUGUGAUUUCGGG
rnacentral:lncRNA from 1 species